GCCACUGCUCGCCCAUCGCCAUCCCUACGCGACAAGGGCGUCGUCGUUAUUUCGCACACAAAACGAGGAUAAAGUCCCGGCUCCCAUACACACUCACACACAGAGAGACAACUCUGGGGGCAUACGUCACGCAUUUUAUCGUACGUUAAAAUUUAUUACACAGUUGGCCCUGCUUUCAGAUGCGACAGUGGGUCGGGGCCCGGACCAAGGACGGCUGACAGCUGACGGCCCGUGAUUUGGUGACAUGUCACCCAGUAGUUUGACGCCGGUUGCGUGACCGGCCGGCCGAUCUAACGAAACCACAGAGAUGGAUCUACGUAAGUUGGCCGGUUGUUGUGAGGUUCCGACGGAAACGGUGUGGAGAGAUGGCCUAGGACCGUUUGGAGGAUGUUCGACGUUAAAUGGACGGGAAAUGGAGGUAUUUGAGGACGGGAGAAUGGAUGGAACGGUCCGAGGAGUCGUUUGCAGCAACCGUAAGAGGAUGAUGUCACGGCGAUCACAAUAAAAAAAAAUUCUUUCCCGAUCCAUCCCGUAAUUCACGACAAUUAAAACAAUCACCAACCCCGCAGGAAACCAACCCCCCACCCCCCGGGAACGCCGGACGCACGGAACGACCACACCCAGCGAGUCGCAGUCUGUGCGAGAUGGCACAUAAAAGGGGGCUCAAAUCCGGCCCACCUCUUCGCCGCCCCCUCUAUUGCGUCGGCGUCGACCGCUUCGCCUACUCCAGAGAGCGCCGCGGCGCGCUCCGAACGCCAGAGCUGUGCCGGACGCCCGUCGUGCCAGACGUCUCCCACCUCCAGCUACAACCCCGAGCCUGAUGCCAACUUCACACCGAACAGUAAAGGUUUGGUGUGUUGGAUUCGUCCUUGUGGUGAUAGCUGUUGCUGGUACGGAACCCCCUGUACGUAUACUGAAUGUAUCCUGAGUGUUAGAUGUCCGGUAUACCUUCAGUAUACGUAACAGGAGGCCACAUUUCAACUGUUCGAGUCGUCGUUGGAUCUAAGCUGGAAUGUGAUUUGUUUUAAUCGUUUUGGUAUUGUAUUUGAUUUUCUGUUUGAUUGUAUUGUUAGAAUCCAUACCUUUUGUGCUGUUAGUGAUACAUUUAUGUUCAUUCAUGAUGAUGUUGUGCUGUUAGUUUGAAUUGUUAACCUCACAAAUAUCCCUUCAAUAAUAUAUAAUAUGUGCAUAUCUACAAUUAACUUGUGCUAAAUGUUAUUUUCAUUCAUCUGUAAUAUAAGGUUUAUUAAUAUGUGUAUUAGUGUAUACUAUUUUUAAGAUUUCUGAUACUUUGAAUUUUGUCCAGUUUAAAACUAUUUCAAACUUGUGUUAUAGUAGGAAUAAAUAUUUUAAUUAAUUUUCUCUGUUCGAGUUCAUAUUGAUAGUCGAAACUUGUGAAUAUAUUCAAAAUCAUAUCAUACUUUCGGAAAAGUAAACAUACAUAAUAAUGCUUCAAUCACUUUGUUAUUUUUGUUCAACUCAUUA